rnacentral:rRNA from 1 species
GUGGGGAAUAUUGCGCAAUGGGGGAAACCCUGACGCAGCGACGCCGUGUGAGGGAAGAAGGCUUUCGGGUCGUAAACCUCUGUCAGAAAGGAAGAACCUCCCAAGUCCGAAUAGGGCUUGGGACUGACGGUACUUUCAAAGGAAGCACCGGCUAACUCCGUGCCAGCAGCCGCGGUAAUACGGAGGGUGCAAGCGUUAAUCGGAAUCACUGGGCGUAAAGCGCGCGUAGGCCGCUUUGUAAGUCGGACGUGAAAGCCCUCGGCUCAACCGGGGAGCGGCGUUCGAUACUGCGAGGCUUGAGUCCUGGAGAGGGUGGCGGAAGUCCGGGUGUAGGAGUGAAAUCCGUAGAUAUCCGGAGGAACACCGGUGGCGAAGGCGGCCACCUGGACAGGUACUGACGCUGAGGCGCGAAAGCGUGGGGAGCAAACAGGAUUAGAAACCCCUGUAGUCC